rnacentral:misc_RNA from 1 species
UCAAACUUGGUCAUUUAGAGGAAGUAAAAGUCGUAACAAGGUUUCCGUAGGUAUGUAUUAUAUCGAACCCUCUUUUUUUUUUUUUUCUCGAGUCUCCCACUAACAUGAGAUUUUAGGUGAACCUGCGGAAGGAUCAUUAUUGAAAAAGCAAAGAAAGAAGAAAUUGGUUGAUGCUGGCCAAUUGUGUAUGUGCACACCAGUCUCUUUUUCUUUAUCCUUACUAUACCCUUGUGCAUCUUUGUAGACCUAGCGUUAUAGGUCUAUGUCAUUUUUAUAUACAUUAUGAAUGAUAUUGAUAAAAGCUUUAUAAAAAGCUAUAAAUGAAUACAACUUUCAACAACGGAUCUCUUGGCUCUCGCAUCGAUGAAGAACGCAGC